GUAGGUCAAGCGACUACGGCGCACGGUGGAUGCCUUGGCACUUCGAGCCGAUGAAGGGCGUGGCUAGGCUGCGAUAAGCCACGGGGAGCUGUUCAGCAAGCUGAUCCGUGGAUUCCCGAAUGGGGCAACCCGGCGGCGGUCAUACGCCGUCACCCCGGACUGAACACAUAGGUCCGGUGGAGGUAAGCGGGGGAACUGAAACAUCUCAGUACCCCGAGGAAAAGAGAAUUAUUCCCCUAGUAGUGGCGAGCGAACGGGGAGCAGCCCAAACCCAGUGUUCUUAACGGCGGUAUGGCCUAUGGGCACUGGGGGUAGUGGACGCCGACGGCUGGUGCAAACCCACCAGCACACAGUUACAAAUCCUUGCGUCUAGCGGAAGGUCCCUGGAAAGGGCCGCCAAAGAGGGUGACAGCCCCGUAGGCGAAAGACGCAGGACUGUGGUUGGCUGAUCCGAAGUACCACGCAGCACGAGAAAGUGCGUGGGAAGCAGGGAGGCCCACCUCCCAAGGCUAAAUACUCGAAGUGACCGAUAGCGGACAAGUACCGUGAGGGAAAGGUGAAAAGCACCCCGGAAGGGGAGUGAAAUAGUUCCUGAAACCGUGUGCUUUC
rnacentral:rRNA from 1 species